AUCCGAUGGAUCCAAAGGAUGCGAUGGAUAAAUAGAUAUCUAUUUAUCCAUCGCAUCCUUUGGAUCCAUCGGAUCCAUUUUUUUUUCGAUGGAUAAAUAGAUAUCUAUUUAUCCAUCGCAUCCUUUGGAUCCAUCGGA